ACUCAACAUGGACAUGAGUGCUGCUGUUCAGCUCCUUGGGCUCUUGUUGCUCUGGUUUCCAGGUGUCAGAUGUGCCAUCCAGUUACUCCAGUCUCCAUCUUCCCUGUCUGUAUCUCUGGGAGACACAAUCACUAUCAGUUGUCAGGCCAGUCAGGGCGUUAGUAACUAUUUAAACUGGUACCAGCAGAAACCAGGGGAAACUCCUAAGCUCCUGAUCUACAGUGUAUCCAACUUGGCAAAUGGGGUGUCAUCUAGGUUCAGUGGCAGUGGAUAUGGGACAGAUUUCACUCUCACCAUCAGCAGUCUAGAGCCUGAAGACAUUGGAACUUACUACUGUGAGCAGUAUAAAAAUUAUCUUUCCACAGUGAUACAAGUCAUAACAUAA